rnacentral:rRNA from 1 species
UACGUAGGGGGCAAGCGUUGUCCGGAAUCAUUGGGCGUAAAGAGCGCGUAGGCGGUCCGGUAAGUCCGCUCUGAAAGUCCGGGGCUCAACCCCGGGAGGCGGGCGGAUACUGCCGGGCUAGAGUCCGGAAGAGGCGAGUGGAAUUCCUGGUGUAGCGGUGAAAUGCGCAGAUAUCAGGAAGAACACCAAUGGCGAAGGCAGCUCUCUGGGACGGUACUGACGCUGAGACGCGAAAGCGUGGGGAGCGAACAGG